ACAAGAUGAAAGUCCAGCUAUGACAGCAUUACCAACAAUCACAGAAACACAACUAAUUACAACAACUGAAACAAUCAGUAGUUGUGCUGACGGUUAUUCCUCAUGUAUUACCACAACAAUGUUACAAUCAACAGAUGUAGGAUCCAUUAGUGUUGCUAUUGCUGUUCCUAUCACUGGUCUAUUAACUGGACUC